rnacentral:pre_miRNA from 13 species
GAUAUUUAAAGGGUGGAUAUUCCUUCAAUGUUUAUGUCAUUUAUGGUUAAACACAGAGGAAAUUCCAUGUUUUCAGUAUC